UGAGUGUAACAUGGACUCGAGAAUAGGGAGUGUAUCAUCUGGAUUGGGGUGCAGCCGUGGUAUGAGAGGACAGCCGUCAAAAAGCAGUCCUGCCAUUGAUGCCUCAGUACCUAAAAGCUUGAUACAUAGUGUAAAGUGUAAGUAUGAAAUAUUAAAUAAAUGAUAAUUUUAACUCCAAACAC